AUGGUCUUCAAGCUUGAUUUCAGGAAAGCUUUUGACUCCAUCUGCUGGUCCUCCCUCUUUCAAAUUCUACAAGCCCGAGGAUUCCCUCCAACUUUCUGCUCAUGGGUCCACGACAUUCUCUACACAGGGAAAAUGGCCAUCCUCCUCAAUGGCAUUCCGGGGCCCUGGAUCCAAUGUAGAUGUGGCCUACGACAAGGAGACCCCUUCUCGCCAUACUUGUUCAUCAUCGUCGCAGAUGUCCUUCAAAGAUAG
rnacentral:rRNA from 1 species